rnacentral:rRNA from 1 species
UACGUAGGGCGCAAGCGUUGUCCGGAAUUAUUGGGCGUAAAGGGCUCGUAGGCGGUUUGUCGCGUCGGGAGUGAAAACCAGGUGCUUAACACCUGGCUUGCUUUCGAUACGGGCAGACUAGAGGUAUGCAGGGGGAGAACGGAAUUCCUGGUGUAGCGGUGAAAUGCGCAGAUAUCAGGAGGAACACCAAUGGCGAAGGCAGAUCUCUGGGCCGUAACUGACGCUGAGGAGCGAAAGCAUGGGGAGCGAACAGG